rnacentral:rRNA from 1 species
CCUACGGGUGGCAGCAGUGAGGAAUAUUGGUCAAUGGACGAGAGUCUGAACCAGCCAAGUAGCGUGAAGGAUGACUGCCCUAUGGGUUGUAAACUUCUUUUAUAUGGGAAUAAACUGUUCCACGUGUGGGAUUUUGUAUGUACCAUAUGAAUAAGGAUCGGCUAACUCCGUGCCAGCAGCCGCGGUAAUACGGAGGAUCCGAGCGUUAUCCGGAUUUAUUGGGUUUAACGGGAGCGUAGGUGGAUUGUUAAGUCAGUUGUGAAAGUUUGCGGCUCAACCGUAAAAUUGCAGUUGAAAAUGGCAGUCUUGAGUACAGUAGAGGUGGGCGGAAUUCGUGGUGUAGCGGUGAAAUGCUUAGAUAUCACGAAGAACUCCGAUUGCGAAGGCAGUUCACUGGACUGCAACUGACACUGAGGCUCGAAAGUGUGGGUAUCAAACAGGAUUAGAUACCCCAGUAGUC